CCCAGUUCGGAUCGCAGGCUGCAACCCGCCUGCGUGAGGUCGGAAUCGCUAGUAAUCGCGGAUCAGCAUGCCGCGGUGAAUACGUUCCCGGGCCUUGUACACACCGCCCGUCACACCAUGAGAGUCGGGAACACCCGAAGUCCGUAGCCUAACCGAAAGGGGGCGCGGCCGAAGGUGGGUUCGAUAAUUGGGGUGAAGUCGUAACAAGGUACC
rnacentral:rRNA from 1 species